UUACGGCCAUAUCACGUUCAAACAACAGUUCCCGUAUGAACACCAAAGUUAAGCAAUGUUGAGCCUUGUCAGUACCUAGAUGGGUGACCACUUGGAAAUGUCAGGCGCUGUAA